rnacentral:rRNA from 1 species
GACGAACGCUGGCGGCGUGCCUAAUACAUGCAAGUAGGACGCAGUUGCGAACGGGUGAGUAACGCGUAGGUAACUACCUAUUAGAGGGGGAUAACUAUUUGAAAGGAUAGCUAAUACCGCAUACUCGUAGAUGGACCUGCGUUGUAUUAGCUAGUAGGUAGGGUAAUGGCCUACCUAGGCAACGAUACAUAGCCGACCUGGGAGGGUGGUAGGCCAAACUGGGGUCGAGACACGGGCCAGGUUCAUACGGGAGGCAGCAGUAGGGAAACUUCGGGAAUGGGGGGAACGCUGACCGAGAAACGCCGCGUGAGUGAAGAAGGUUUUCGGAUCGGAAAGCUCUGGUGUUAAGGAAGCGGUACUUAACCAGAAAGCGACGGCUAACUACGUGCCAGCAGCCGCGGUAAUGC